rnacentral:lncRNA from 1 species
CUUGUUUCUGUGUAUUAGGAGUUAGAUCAAGUAGAUCUAAAUUAACAAUAUUUUUUCAUCUAAUAUAAUGGAUAUGACAGAGUUAAUAAUUGAAAUAAAUUGCCAACACAUAAAGCAGAGUGGUUUUAACUUAGAAGGUGAAGAAGAUAAAAUAUUCAUAUGAAAAACCAAAGAUAACUGAGCAACAUCAGUCAUUAAACAAGAUAUAGUGUUAGCAAAAUAUGACAAUUUCUUUCCAGUAUAUUAGAGUGGAUUCUUCCAAUAACAUGAUGGCUUUCUCUAAUAGUCUCAUGCUACAAGUGUUUAUUCAAACUGAAACACACUAUAAUCCUUGACUCUUUUUCUGGUUUAGGUCACUAGACAUUUUGGAGUGAAUCUCUCAGCUGUCCACAAUAAGCCAACUGAAGUAGCAGACUGAGAAGUGGAAUGAAGGAAGGUGUUCUAUUCCUGGGUAUGCAGGAGAAAGAAGAAAAGGCAUGAUCUCGGAAUAAAGAAAGUCUGUCCAAAGAAAAGGAAAUUGAUUCUUCUAUACUGACAGAGCCAUGAGCUGAGGCCAAGAGAAUACGGGGUGGUGAGCAAGAAGUCUGAUGUAGUAAGCUAAAUGGAUCCAAUCCUUGCCCUCAAGGAAAAGCUUACAGUUUAAGUCCUGGCAACUACACGAUGCUGUUUUGUCACUGCAUUUCAGCGAGAAUGGAGGCAACCCUGGAUGCCACAGGAAAGAGUUCCUGUGUUAUGAAACCUUUGUAUUCAUGAAAAAUCAUGUUUUUGAUGCAUGUUUAAUGCCAUGGGAAAAUGCUCAUAAUAAGUCAAGUAAAAAAAUGUUUACAAAUUGUUUACAGCACAAGAUUUAGGUUUUUUGUGAAAUGUAUAUUUAUUUAAUUGUAUAAAAAGUAGACUGAAAAGAAACAUACUGGAAUUUUAGGAGUGGUUAUCUCUGUAGAUAGGAUUAAAAUAAUUUUAGUUUUCUUCUUUAUACUUUCUUUAUUUCCUAGAUUUUCUACAGUACACAUAAACUGCCCCUGCUAUCUGG